CAUUUAUAUGCCUGGUUGCUUGUGUUUAUGGAUGGCCUUCACCAGAAUGUAAGCUCUGUGAGGGGACGGGAAACUGCCUGAAUCUUACAGAUGUUGCCCAGGUCCGACAGCUAAGAAGAGGUGAAGAUAGCGCUUAAAUCAGGUAAAAUGAAAGGCUGCUUCAUGGAAAAACAUCAAUGACAACAAAAAACGAAGCUCUGGGCCAUCUACAUGUGCUCCCACAGGUUCAGAAGGACGUCGACAUGAAGAGAAAGAUAGACGUGAGCUGGGUCAUUCAAAGUCUCCCCCACCCGCCGCAGCCACUACCCAGCAGAGGGAAAAUGAGAGAAGAAAGAAAGAAGAGGGGAAGAAAGUUGCGCCGGGCUCUCUCUCAGGGCGGUGCGCAGAGCUGCUCGGUAAGGAGAGGAGCCUUCAACUCUGAGUCCCGUGAACAUAAUCUGCGCGGUUAUAACCAGCCAACCCGGCCAGAUGGCUCCGCGCUCAGCGCCUUAACCCCUUACGCGCCGCGGAGUCCGCCCCCGCGUCCCGCUUGAAGUGCGCCUCCCAGGCCCGCGCCCCAGCGUCCUCCGAUUUCUCUCCGGCUACCAGUGCGAGGACCAUGUCAUUUUUCCAAGCCCCUCUUAAAACAAAAUAAAACAAAACGAACUUCCAAA